AUUGAACGCUGGCGGCAUGCCUUACACAUGCAAGUCGAACGGUAACGGGUCCUUCGGGAUGCCGACGAGUGGCGAACGGGUGAGUAAUAUAUCGGAACGUGCCCAGUAGUGGGGGAUAACUGCUCGAAAGAGCAGCUAAUACCGCAUACGAUCUGAGGGUGAAAGGGGGGGCUCGCAAGACCUCUCGCUAUUGGAGCGGCCGAUAUCAGAUUAGCUAAUUGGUGGGGUAAAGGCCUACCAAGGCAACGAUCUGUAGUUGGUCUGAGAGGACGACCAGCCACACUGGGACUGAGACACGGCCCAGACUCCUACGGGAGGCAGCAGUGGGGAAUUUUGGACAAUGGGCGCAAGCCUGAUCCAGCAAUGCCGCGUGCAGGAAGAAGGCCUUCGGGUUGUAAACUGCUUUUGUCAGGGAAGAAAUCUUCUGGGCUAAUACCCCGGGAGGAUGACGGUACCUGAAGAAUAAGCACCGGCUAAAGACGAGCCAGCCGCCGCCGUAA
rnacentral:rRNA from 1 species